GGACCUUUAGCUCAAUCGGUAGAGCUUUGUACUUAUGCGGCUGCCUGGCCCAGGCAUUGCGAGAAACGAACUCCAAUGUAAGAUCAUGCAAGGGUCCCGAGUUCGAUUCUCGGAAGGUCCA